UCAUCCUCAUCCUCCUCAUCUUCCUGGCAGGGCCAGCUCCCAGCAUCACCCACAGCUGGUGCCCAGGAGGGGCUGGAUCUCUGUGAGGUGCCAGAGGAGGCAGAGGCUGCUGGAUUACAGGGGCAGCCCCACUGACAGCAAAAGCCUUGCCUCACUGCCUGCAGAGGUCAGCAGAGCUGGAGCCCUGCUGGAAUGAGAGCAGCCCUGCUCCUUCCAAGGCCAGGAAAAGGAGAGAAACAUUUCACAAUCCUUUAACUUGUCACAUGUAAAAGCUGAAAAGUCUCACACCGAGAUCUCAGCAGCCGCAGGAAACAGCAGCAGUUCAUGGAGGGCACUCGGGCUGAAAGCAGAGAAUUGCAGGUGUUUGCCCUUUUGGAGCUGUUACAGGAGAAUAUGCAAAGAAGGCCUGAAAAGGGGAGGUGAGUGCUGGCUGCACCAAGCCUGGGAGGUGACACAGUCCUGUCCCUGCAGGAGCCCAGGGCUCCCAAAAGCUCUGACUUCAAGGACUGAGGGAGAAGGAGCCCUGGGUGAUGGCUCAGCACCAUCACUCUUCCAGUCUAUUGCAGCUGCUCUGAGCUCCCCAGAAAAUGAGAGAAGAUCAGGUGUGAUGUUCUGGACUUCACCUGUGAGAAGCAAUCAGGGAAAUAAAUAGAAUAAACCAAAGUGCAGAGAGACUCGUGGUUGUACU